CGCCAAUGAGAUUCCUUGUUUCUCAUUACCCGCCCGCAUUGCCGCCUCUAAUUUUUAAUAUUGUUAAUAUGCCAUAGACUUCCAGGGCGCAUGCGCAGACUCUGUUUUGUGGUGUUACUGUGCGCCAUUUUUCUAUAAUUUCAUGAUAUUUCUCCUGUUUCUUGCCUUAUUGCAACUUGAGAGUCUCUGUUUGCGGAGUGUUUGUCGACCAAAUAGCGCUAGCAAGAGUGCAAACUCAUACUCAUUUCAGCCCGCGUCUUCUCUUCAGUCCUCGAGAUAUUCCUUAAGUACAGUGUUUUCAAGGCUAGUCUAUUGUGACUCUGCAUGUUUUGUUGCAAGAGCUCGCUCUCCUCACUGAAUUGAUGUUUGACACUAAUAUUGUGCAUUUUGAUAUUGUUUUUUGCAAGAGCUCAUUCUCUUUUCAGUUACCUUGGUUACUUAUAUUAUCGUGGUUAGUGAUUUUAAUUAGGUACAGUAAUAAUUAUCUCUUUCUCCCCUCACUCAGGCUCAGUCUCUCCUCUUCCUUUCUCAAAGAUUGCAGAUAUACUUGUACUAACUUUAAUGAUUUUUGGUCAGUGCAUUGUACUAUUGAGUUCAACUUACAAAAUUUGACUGAAUUCAAUUUUUUAGGUAUUUUUUCUGUUUUUCUUUUUACUCUUGUAUCUGCCUUUUGUUUUAAGUAUUUGAAGCUUUAUAUUUGGUUAGUUGUUUAUGUUGGCUUGAUUUAUUUUCAUUAUGUAUUACUUAUAUUUAUAGUGUUAUGUCCCUCAAUUUAUUAUUGGUAACGACAAGUGUCCUUGGUAAUAAUGGUAAAUGUCUUUUGCCAUGGACACUGACACAGUUCAAUGAAUUGUCAUCUGUUUUGGAGUUUUUUACAAAUGAUCUUAAACCACGAUUAGAA